rnacentral:lncRNA from 1 species
CAGUCACGAUGCACAAGCUUACAAAGAAAAGUGUAGAAGUUGGAAUAAUACGAUAUGCUUUUUACAAAUAAGACAAAAGACUGAAAUAGAGGAUACAGCCCAAAUUAGCACAAGAGGAUACAGCCCAAAUUAGCACAAGAGCAACUCCCACUGAUGAGAAAAUUAUCUGACUGCAAAUUACACACUGCUACUCCAUGAGCUCCAUUGAGGUUUAAGGUAUUGGAUUAACCAAAAUGAAGCAGAAGAAAAAAAAAAUGAGCUAGAAAAACAAAUGCACCAAGGUGAAAAGGAAAAACACAAAUUAAUAUUUGCUAAUUAUAUGGUAUAUACUGGUCUAUAUCAGUCAUAUUAUUCCCAUUUUAAAAUGCACAAGGUUUGGUGGGUAGUAAAAUGCCAAGAAGAUAAGGCAGUUGGUCAUUGUCUAAUCUAGGAUUACAGGAUGGGUCAGUUUGGCUUCAGAAACUCACCUUCCUAGUGAGAGAUAGACUUUCUCUUGCUCAGUUGAGCAGUAUUGAUCAGGAAAAGAAUCUGUUGUGUCAGAGGAAGGCAAUAUGUCAGAUCUGAUUACCACAGAUAAAAUGUACUAAGUCAGGGGAACAUUUAUAGAUCAUCAGAUAUAUCUGUCAGGGUCCCAGCAAGAAACUGGCAGCACACUCAAGAGAGAAGAGCUCAAGGAGAGACUAAUUAUAAAGGUGUAAGCAAGGGAAGGGAAUCCUAGGGGAUGAAGCAGUAACCCAGAGCUGAUAAUAGUGGAGGUUACCACCCCAGGCUAGAGGGUAAGAGGUAGGAGAGAACUCUAUAUGAGAGGGAUUCCUGUAGAGCAGCCCCCUUGAAGGGGAUUAGUGACAUCUGAGACAGCCAAACCAAGGUGAGCCCACUGGGAGGAAUUCAGGGAAAAAAAUAGCCUGAUCUCACUCUUAUUUCUUACUUUAUCCAGAGGCUUUAAAGGUACAGAAGGCCACUUAUGUAUUUCAUACAGGUCAGCCUCCUGGGGCAGGCACAGAAGGGUGGAGGGAAGACCUCAUUAAAUAAAGACAUCCAGCACACCAAAACAGGCAGAAAGCAGACAUGAUAACGAGAUUGCCACCUAUUUACCUUCUUGUAACCAUAAGAAUGAGGGAAGCUUCAUUCCGACGGAGUUCGACCAAAAUAGAGAAGAAGUUGUAAGGGUACGUGUAACCACUCUAGAUUGGAUACUCCUGCAGCUAAUGAUAUGAUAAUGAGAAAAAUCAUAUGCAACUGAAGUGGAUAUUUCAAUAAAGAGUUGAGCAACAUGUGGUCUAGUUAGGACCAUCUUGGAAAGACUUUGGGAGGUAUUGGUGGAGUAGAUGUGGAGAAGAGUUAGCUUAUUCAGAGAAUUAUACUGAAAUUACUCCCUCAGAAAAACCUUGGAUCUACCAGAGCUUGUUUCUUUGCAAACUUGCUCAUAGGCCAUGUAAAUAAAACUGAAUGUCAUCUGGUGAAUGAUGAAAUGAAGGAAAUAGAAUCAGAGAGGUGGUGAGAUAUUAAAUCACAUAGGUCUGUUGGAAAAUUUUGAAAGGAGGAGCAUGUGAUUUGACUUACAUUUUAAUAGGCUUGUUCAGGAAAAUGUGUGAAGAGAUUGUACAGGGACAUGACUGGAUGUCGAGGACCAGGUAAGAAGCUAAUGCAAUAAUUUAGGCAAAAAGGAUGAUGGUAACAGUGGAGGUGGUGAGAAGUGGCCACAUCCUCAGUAUUUUUGUAAGUAAUACUAUGGAAUCAGCUGAAUAAGUGGAUAUCAGGUGUGAGAAAAGGAGUGAAAAGAAGCCCAAAGGUUUCAGCCUAAGCAAUGGAAGGAUAAAGUUGACAUUUGUUAAGGCAGGGAAGACUGUAAGUGAAGCUGUAUUUUAUCUGGGGUGAAGGGAGAAAUCAGGAGUUUGGUUUUGAACAUAUUGGCUUUGAGAUAUAUAUUAGACAUUCAAAUGGAAAUAUUAAAAAGGUUAUUGGAUAUAUACAGGUCUAGAAUUCAGUGUAGAAGUGUAUGCAGGAGACACCAAUCUGGAUAUUAGCACAUAAACAGUAUUUAAAACUACAAGACUGUAUGGGGUUACCAAAAAAGUGAGAAAAGCAGAAUCCUGGACCACACCGCAGUUCAGAGUUUGGAAAAAUGAGGAAGAGCCAGUAAAGGAAAACUGAGGAUUGGUCAACGAGGUAGAAAGAAAAACCUCUGAUGGAAUUGCAACAUGGGCAGAAACCAGAGGUAGGAAGGCAGGCAACCCUUGCAUAAAAAUAUCCACUCACCAACUGUUCACCAACUGUUCUUCCUCUUGCUGGCAUACCUUAUGCAGCAUCCUCAGAUGCCAGAGCGCGUUUCUGCUGCAGCCUCCACGAUGCCUGGGCUGAUAGCAAUCAGGUCCUGCUAUGCUUCUUUCAGGAAGAGCUGACCCCUGGAAUCUGGGCUAGACUUGCACUUGUUUUGGCCAUUGGAAUAUCAAGCUGACUUUUUGUGGGCUCUGGAGACUAGGACCUAAAAGGAGGAAUGUUGCCCCCUCAUCAUUAUGUAAAGAAGCUGGCGCAACCUGCUGGAGGAGAAUAUGCCACCUGGGGAAGAACUGAGGCACCCAGCCAACAUCCAGCACCCACCACUAGACAUGAAAACACUGGUCGGUUACUAAUGGAGAAGAAGAAAAAGCAGCAAAGACAACGAGUAUACUUGGGAUGCGAUCGCAUGCCUGGAGCAUCUGGUGGGCAGGAUUCACUCGUCCUUUCCUUUUUGAGAUUGCAAUUAAGUAGAUAAUAUGAGAGAGAACUGACAAUUGGGUUGUCCCUACUGAGCUUGGGGCCAGGUGUGUACUUAGGAACCCAAUCCCACCCAGAAGAGACUCAUCUAUGUUAACACUAAGGAUGCCCUGGAGGAGGUCCUGACCACAUACAUGCGGCCAUUGGUUGAUUUCAGCUUUGCAAGCAGCGUAGUGAGAAAACCAAAAGCUUGUCCUAUCCAGACUGAGCUUGCCAGGGAAGCAGAGGCCUGAGGUUACUUAACGAGAGGCAGGCUGCCAGAGUGGAGACACAGGGCAUGUACAAUCAUACAAACCUGCAUACCAAUUCUGCCCCCCCACUCACUCUGUGGCUGUGUCACCCUGGCAAGUGACUUAACCUCUCUGAUCUUCUUUUCCUCACCUAUAAAAUGGGGAAAAUGAAAUGUAUCUCAGAUUGGGGAUUCGAAGGUUUCAAAUGACCAUUUAGGUAAACUUCCUGGAACAUAGUAUGUGUUCAGGAACCUUGAGUUCCCUCCCCUUGGGAGAAGACCCCUCACACUGAGCUGGGGAGCAGGAUCCUGGUCACUGAGACUUCUUUUCUGCACAAACUUCAUCUUGGCCUCUAAUGAGAUGGAAUCCCCCAGGGCCUGUUGCCUCCUGUUAUUGCAAUUUAAGCACAGCCAGUGCUGACUGGGCUGUUAGACUCCAAAGGUUCCCUGGUAGAAAAUUUGAGGGGUGUGGGAUGGCAAGGGAUUGAGAGAGAGGGGUGGGGACUUCAGAUAGCCAGUAUUCCUUAGCCUUCCAAUUCCUUAACAGCCAAAUUACCCUAGAGCCUCUUUAUGAAGCUAAAGAAAUACAAAUACUAUUUUCAAAUCAGCAGGCAUUCCCAAUGUUGGCUUUUGCUGAGGGUAGCUAAGAGGCAAAGCAUACCUAGAUCCUAGGCCAGACCUCAACAGCCUUAGUUCUGGCUCCUUCUGUUUCCAUAUUUCUCAAGAACCUGGUUUUCUCUGCUGGAAGAAGCAUUUUCAGAGGUCAUCUGAAGUCUACAGCCCUCCCCUCUGCGAGGAGAGCACAGACUUGAAGUCAAGUGGGCCUGGGCUCCAAAUCUUAGUUCUGCCACUUACUAGCUAUGUGGCCUUGGACAAGUUACUUAACUCCCCCAUGCCUCAGUUUCUCUGGAUACCAAAUGGGGAUAAUGAUGCUAAUACCUCAUAGAGUAGGCAUGAGGGUUAUAUGAGUAAAGUGCUGAGAAAGGAGCCUGAUAGGUAAUUACCUGAUCCCCCUCCUCUCGCUAGAGCCCCCACACCCUGGUGAUACUCACCACUAUGCCUUCACUUUAUAAUCAACAGAAACACUUCAACACCCAUCCCAGAAAACACAUGAAAUACUCACAUUACACAAAGAUCAAAUGAGUGGGGAUGAUUAAACCUAUUUUCCUUUUGAUUCAAACAAGUGGAGUGCUCUGUCCUUGGCCACACAGUUUAAAGAAUGAAGCCAGGACUACAUGCCAAACAGCAUGACUCCUAGGGUAAAGUUCUUCCCACCCCAUGAAGAUGCCCUCACCCCUCAAUUUCUCCUGACUGUUUCUUUAAAUAGAAAGGUUUUGAUGGAAACACUAGUGACGUAUAUGAAUUUUGAAGCAGAUAUCCAUUUUUAAUAUAGGAAGGAAGACAUUAAGAUGUCAAACUUGGGGCUGCUAAAUGAACAUCUGUAGCCCAAACAUGGGGCACCAGGGCUGGGAGGCUCAGAGAAGUAAUUGCCACAAAAAAGAUGCACCAGGACAUUGAUUUCUUCUGCCUGUUUGCUUGAUUUCCACUUUGAGCUUACUCAAUUGGCUAUUCCUCUGUUUUGCCACCUCAAGAACAUGACCCCAGCUCAUUUGAAUGAAAAUAUGUUUGCCAUUACCUCAUUAAUUUCUGAGACUUUGCAUUAUUUUUUACACCCACCUCCUUUCUUUUCUUCUCCCUCAAAAUUCAGAGUAUUGGUUGGAAAGAGGUAAAUCAGGCACCAUUUCUCCAUGAUGUGUCAGGACCUGAAUCUGUCAUUUGCGAGCCUGACCUCAUAACUCAGCCAAGCCAAGCUGCAAGGCACCCUGGGAACCCAUCACUGAAAGACUGCAGAGGGAGGAAGGCAAGGGCAGGAAUAGCCAGCUGGUCAAGCAGCAGAGUGUCUCCUCAGCUCCCAGGAAAUGGUGUCUAAGGGUGAUGAUGAACUGGGACUUCAUCUGAGUCCAAAAUAAUGAUGCUGCUGAUGCAACAGCAGAACUUAUUAAACACUUACUACUGCAUAUGCCACUAUGAGGUAGACUUACAGAGAAUAAGUUACUCUCCCAUAAUCACACAGCCAGUAAAUGACAGAAAUGGGAUCCAAUCCAAAUAUGUUUCAUUCUAAAGCCCAUGCUCUUCACCAACAAAGCCCAACUUGAUUUAAUUUAUCCCCAAACAUACCAACAUCCAUUUGUUAGUUCCCUUCCCAAUUUAACUUUAAGCGUCUCACAUACAUACACUGUUUUUAUCCUAACAACAAGUUGGUGAGGAACUGAGCUCAGAGAGGUUAAUCCACCCACUGAAAGGCACCCAGUGUUUAAGAGCAGAGGGAGGGGCCUGACACAGGUCUUUCGGAGCAUGACAUGCAUGUUCUGUCCACAAGGCCUGUUGCUGCCUUUCCCCCAGAGGUCCAGACUGAGGACGGGACAGAGUAGAUAAAGACAGCAGUGUGAGAGGAGGCAGUGGGCAAUAUGGGGAAUCUAGGGGCAGCAGUAUGCUGGUCCCAUAUAAUCAGGCCCGGGGGAGGGGCCCAGACAGAGGGUGGCAGACUCUCUGUACUCCAGCAAGACAAUCCCAGAAGAAAUGCCAGAGAGAUCAAUGAGAAGGCCAGUCAUUUACACUGGGCACACACACAGUGUUUAGGGUACUCAGAUAGGUACCCAGGCCUCACCCCAGGCUGUUUGGACACCAGGAGUCAUAGCACUCUUCCAGGCCACAACUGCUACUUGGGGUGGGAGGAGAGGAUGAGACGUGGCAUUUGUGGAAUAAUGACUGUGGCCAAGCAGUGGGCUCUGUAUGAUGCCAUCGUCAAUUCUCACAGCAAUUCUACAACAUAGGUUUUGUUACUUCUCUCUCACGCUUUACCCUAAAUUUCUCCUGCCUACCACAGUGCUUGGCACACACAAACAGAAUAAUAAUGUGUGGAACUGACUAAUUCAUUUUCCAUUCUGCUGGUCAGGGAGAAAUUAAUAGAGGCAGAGGCUAUUAAUAAAACAUUACAUUACCUCCAAUGAGUGUGGAAUAAUUCUCUAAAAUACUGACAAUCAG